rnacentral:rRNA from 1 species
CGGGUUGUAAACCUCUUUCAGUAGGGAAGAAGCGAAAGUGACGGUACCUGCAGAAGAAGCGCCGGCUAACUACGUGCCAGCAGCCGCGGUAAUACGUAGGGCGCAAGCGUUAUCCGGAAUUAUUGGGCGUAAAGAGCUCGUAGGCGGUUUGUCGCGUCUGCCGUGAAAGUCCGGGGCUCAACUCCGGAUCUGCGGUGGGUACGGGCAGACUAGAGUGAUGUAGGGGAGACUGGAAUUCCUGGUGUAGCGGUGAAAUGCGCAGAUAUCAGGAGGAACACCGAUGGCGAAGGCGGGUCUCUGGGCAUUUACUGACGCUGAGGAGCGAAAGCAUGGGGAGCGAACAGGAUUAGAUACCCUGGUAGUCCAUGCCGUAAACUUUGGGCACUAGGUGUGGGGGACAUUCCCCGUUUUCCGCGCCCUAUCUAACGCAUUAAGUGCCCCGGCUGGGGAGUACGGGCGCAAGGUUAA